GGGUUGUGAGGUUAAGCGACUAAGCGUACACGGUGGAUGCCCUGGCAGUCAGAGGCGAUGAAGGGCGUGCUAAUCUGCGAUAAGCGCCGGUAAGGUGAUAUGAACCGUUAUAACCGGCGAUACCCGAAUGGGGAAACCCAGUGUGACUCGUCACACUAUCAUUAACUGAAUCCAUAGGUUAAUGAGGCGAACCGGGGGAACUGAAACAUCUAAGUACCCCGAGGAAAAGAAAUCAACCGAGAUUCCCCCAGUAGCGGCGAGCGAACGGGGAGGAGCCCAGAGCCUGAAUCAGCAUGUGUGUUAGUGGAAGCGUCUGGAAAGGCGCGCGAUACAGGGUGACAGCCCCGUACACAAAAGCGCAUGUGCUGUGAGCUCGAUGAGUAGGGCGGGACACGUGGUAUCCUGUCUGAAUAUGGGGGGACCAUCCUCCAAGGCUAAAUACUCCUGACUGACCGAUAGUGAACCAGUACCGUGAGGGAAAGGCGAAAAGAACCCCGGCGAGGGGAGUGAAAAAGAACCUGAAACCGUGUACGUACAAGCAGUGGGAGCACCCUUUGGGGUGUGACUGCGUACCUUUUGUAUAAUGGGUCAGCGACUUAUAUUCUGUAGCAAGGUUAACCGAAUAGGGGAGCCGCAGGGAAACCGAGUCUUAAUUGGGCGUUAAGUUGCAGGGUAUAGACCCGAAACCCGGUGAUCUAGCCAUGGGCAGGUUGAAGGUUGGGUAACACUAACUGGAGGACCGAACCGACUAAUGUUGAAAAAUUAGCGGAUGACCUGUGGCUGGGGGUGAAAGGCCAAUCAAACCGGGAGAUAGCUGGUUCUCCCCGAAAGCUAUUUAGGUAGCGCCUCGUGAAUUCAUCUCCGGGGGUAGAGCACUGUUUCGGCUAGGGGGCCAUCCCGGCUUACCAACCCGAUGCAAACUGCGAAUACCGGAGAAUGUUAUCACGGGAGACACACGGCGGGUGCUAACGUCCGUCGUGAAGAGGGAAACAACCCAGACCGCCAGCUAAGGUCCCAAAGUCAUGGUUAAGUGGGAAACGAUGUGGGAAGGCCCAGACAGCCAGGAUGUUGGCUUAGAAGCAGCCAUCAUUUAAAGAAAGCGUAAUAGCUCACUGGUCGAGUCGGCCUGCGCGGAAGAUGUAACGGGGCUAAACCAUGCACCGAAGCUGCGGCAGCGAACGUAUCACUUAAAGCGAUUCAGCGGGUUACGAUUGACGGAGCGAAGCGACGUCAAAGCGUAUAUAAAGUCGAGUCGGUUUAAGGAUACGUUCGUUGGGUAGGGGAGCGUUCUGUAAGCCUGUGAAGGUGGCCUGUGAGGGUUGCUGGAGGUAUCAGAAGUGCGAAUGCUGACAUAAGUAACGAUAAAGCGGGUGAAAAGCCCGCUCGCCGGAAGACCAAGGGUUCCUGUCCAACGUUAAUCGGGGCAGGGUGAGUCGACCCCUAAGGC
rnacentral:rRNA from 1 species